GGCCAGCAUGAUGUAGUGGUUUGAGUACUGGACCAUGACUCUAGAGACCAUGGUUUGAAUCCUUGCUUGGUCA